CCUCCUUGGUGCCUCUCUUGUCUCUGUCCCUGAGGUCAGGUCCUUCACUGCUGGACACUGGGAGCCUCUGCAGAGACGCAUAGUGGAGCUCCUGCUCUGAGGACCCCUGGACCUGGGGCCAGGACAGAAGAGUUCCACUAUGUUGUCUAGGAUGGUCUUCAACCCCUGAGCUCAAGCUGUCUUCCUGCCUCAGCCUCACAACAGCUGGAAUGACAGACAGAAUCUCAGACUGUCGCCCAGGCUGGAAUGCAAUGGUGCGAUCUUGGCUCAC